UACGGAGGGGGCAAGCGUUGUUCGGAGUCACUGGGCGUAAAGGGCGCGUAGGCGGUGCGUAAAGUCAGGCGUGAAAGCCCCGGGCUUAACCUGGGAAUUGCGCUUGAUACUGACGUGCUAGAGAACGGGAGAGGAUGGCGGAAUUCCCAGUGUAGAGGUGAAAUUCGUAGAUAUUGGGAGGAACACCAGUGGCGAAGGCGGCUCACUGGACCGGUACUGACGCUGAGGCGCGAAAGCGUGGGGAGCAAACGGG
rnacentral:rRNA from 1 species